AUCAACCUCCAAACAGAAAAGAGUUGUCAAACGUGUGUUUACUCACAAGAAAUGGAUAUACUUCUGUUGGAAUACCAGGAGAAUUCUAAGAUAACAAAACCAGGACACAGAUAUAGGAGAAUGGACAGCAGUUGGUCAUUAUCAUCAAACUAGUCACUUCUAUGUUCACCUUCCUAGGCGAUGUUCAGACGAUGGUGUUCGCUCUGAACCGAUGGAGGAGAACCACCCGGGGGAAGAAGAUUCUGCUUAUUCUAGCUGCUGGUCUGAUUAUUGUCAUCAUCAACAUCAUAUGUGGUGUCAACUUCAUGGACGCCCGCUAUCCUGUUGACUACAAUACUGAUGACAAGUCUUCUCCAUUUCGCGUACCUGACACAAACAGUGAGAACUUCUUCAGAGAACAACGCCGACGUGAAAGACUUCAGAUUUUCCAAAAGAUUUUCGAAAAACAGAGUCGCAGAAAAUCACAAAUCAGUAAUCAGACCUGUCAGCAUCCCCAUUUGGAUUUGAAGCAUGAUAGCAACAAAGAUGCAUUUCAUUCUAUGCCUCCACUGAACUGUACAGGGAAGAGCUUGUUCUACCUACACAAUCGGGUUGCACGGCUCAACAACACUGUGCUGCAGGGUAAGGAGCUUGGCAAGUGUUUGUAUUUUGGGAUAGAACGAAUGACUGAUGAUUUCUUUACCUACACAGAGAGCUUAGAAAAGACAGCACCUCCAUAUGACCUCAUUUUAAAUCACGACUUUCUGAGAAUACAGUGUAACUAUAAGAGCUCGGAAGAUGAAGAAAACAAUAAUGUGUAUCCUGGUUUUCGAAGACUGAUGUCAACAGAACAUAGGCGCCAAAAGGAUUAUUUUACAAAAAGUCAAAAUGGUUCCUUUCAUGAAACUAAUUUCAAACGUAAUCAUGAUGUAUUUGACAGAAAAAAUUUGAAAGAUGUGAUCCAUUUUUCUCAACAGCCUCAUAUAGACAAAAAGUCAAAUUCUUCUUUUGACGAAUUGAAAACAUGGAAUACAUCAGCUUCUUCACAGAAUGGUCAAGCACGGAAGCUAAACCAGCUGAACUUUGAGGAGGGUAGAGCUGGAGAUGAGUUAAAAGAACCAAUGAACGGUGCCGGCGACAUCAUGGCACCAUUUCCAGGUGGAAAUUCUGAUGAGAGUAAUCCUGCGGUUGGGCAGGGUUUAGAUGACAGCGAGGGAUUUGACUACCAGCAUUUUAUGGGAGCUGAAUGGAUGGAUAAAGAUUUUGAUCAGUUUCUUGUUCAAGUUGUUCCGAAGCAAGAAGUGUUUGAAAGAAUUGCCAAGGCUAAAUCCAACAUGAAGAAGCCAUCGUCCAAUAUGAACAUCCUCAUCAUAGCCAUGGAUUCAAUGUCACAGCUGUCCUACCAGAGGAAACUACCGCUGACUUAUCGAUACCUGAAGGAAGAGCUGGGGGCGAUCAUGCUGGAUGGCUACAAUAUUGUCGGUGAUGCUACCACUGCUGCCCUCAUCCCCAUGUUAACAGGGAAGACGGAGAUGGAGUUGCCGGAGGUGCGGAAGGAGGAGGAGGAUGCAAACUUUGUCGACGUCUACCCCAUGGUGUGGAACCGCUUCAAGGAGGCUGGCUACGCCACUCUGUUUGCAGAGGAUGAGCCAUCCAUCAGCACCUUCAACUUGCGCUUUAAUGGAUUCCAGGAAUCUCCUGCUGACCACUACAUGCGGCCAUUCUGGCAGGCCAUCUGGGAGUCCGGUCUUCGGUCACAGAGUCCGCGGUACACCACUGGCGCCACCAAACACCACAUCUACAUGCUGGACUACCUUAAAGACUUCUUUGUCAACUACAACAACGUGUCCAAGUUUGCAUUUGGCUUCAGCGUGGAACUCACUCACUGGGACAACAACCCUGGGGAGUACAUGGACAGAGAUCUUGUAGAGUUCCUGCAGCUUUUUCAGAAGAAGGGUUACCUUGACAACACAAUGCUGGUUGUCAUGGGCGACCAUGGUGCUAGAUACAGCAAGGUGCGGAAUACGGUUCAGGGGAAGCUUGAAGAGAGACUGCCAAUGAUGUCACUUGUGUUGCCGCCAUGGUUUCGUCAUGAAUAUCCAAAAGCUAAUGCAGCGUUAAAACGGAAUAGUAAACGUCUAACAACACCGUUUGACAUUCAUGAAACAUUUUUAGAUUUGUUGAAUCUUGAACGAUUGACAGUCCCCAUUAAUCCAGAACAGAGGGGGAUGAGUGUAUUGAGAGACAUUCCAGAUAACCGAACCUGUGCUUCGGCCAGGAUCGACAUCCACUGGUGUGCUUGUCUUCAUCAGGUGAAGGUCAACAUCGAGGAUAAGUUUGUUGUGACAGCGUCUGAGAAGGUUGUCAACUACAUUAAUGGGUUCACAGAGAAGCUUCGCGGUAACUGCUCGGAACUAAGUCUGAAGAGAAUAUACACUGCUUACAUGGUGCUGCCCAAUGAGAAGGUACUGAAGUUCCAAAAGACGACCGACCCAGAUUCAAGGAAUGCUAAUUUCAGUGGGUCAGUUGACCUUGACAAAGCUCACUACCAAAUUACCCUGGAGACACAUCCCAGUGAUGCCAUCUAUGAGGUUACAGUUCAGGUAGACUUCCGUAACGAGACAUACCAAUAUCACGUGACUCCAGAGAUCAGUCGCCUUAAUCUGUACGGAGACCAGCCCAAGUGUAUUCAGAAACACCAUCCAGACCUCAGAAAGUAUUGUUUUUGUCGGGACUUUGUAAAGCCAAUCUCUGAGGUCGGGAAGGGAGUGGCUUAGAGCCCAACUGUAUUGAGAAACACCAUCUUGACCUCAGAAAGUAUUGUUUUUGUCGGGACUUUGUAAAGCCAAUCUCUGAGGUCGUAAAGGGAGUGGCUUAGAGCCCAAGUGUAUUCAGAAACACCAUCUUGACCUCAGAAAGUAUUGUUUUUGUCGGGAGUUUGUAAAGCCAGUCUUUGAGGUCGUAAAGGGAGUGGCUUAGAGCCUAAGUGUAUUCAGAUACUCCAUUCUGACCUCAGAAAGAUAAUCAUGUUGAUAUGUUAUGUUAUCUGAAAGAUAUAUUAUAAGAUUCCAAAUGGUGAAAGAGCCAUGUGUUUAUGCCAGUUGCAGCAUGAAGAGUGCUAUUUUACAGUGAUUUUGACUCUAUAUACAUGUUUAUACAUAUACAUAGCUCGGCUAAUCUUUGUGAUUACAGGCCAUUUGGAAGAAAAUUAAAGUGUUUCUCACAUUAUGAUGCACCAGCUUUCAAAUCCCUGAAACACCUAAGUGAUGAAUUGCCAGAUUUUAGAAUAGGACCCUGAUUAUCAAGACAGUGAAAUUCUGUCUAUGGUGGUACUACUUCCAUUAAUUACUUCUUCAUGACCAAACAAUAUAAUUGUAUGGAUAAACGAGGCGAGACUAUGAGGAGUUUAACAAAUAUAAACUGUUAUUACUGUAAAUUAUGAUGAUUUAGCUCGUCACCUGUGAGCAUAGACGUUCCUUGAUCAAUGUCCUGGAUAUGAAUAAAACUGUGUGCGGUCCUCUGGGUAUUGAUCCAGUUACAAAUCCGAGGUUAUAUGGCCAGUUUUUCAGAAUCAGACAAUAUUUGUUAGUUCAAUAUAUUGUUAUCAUACUUAUGUCCAACAUAUGUGAUAUUUUUUAUCGAUGACUUUGACAGAUGUUUUUAAAAUAUGCAAAGACAUACCCCAUCUGUCAUUAUUUAAAAAAAAUAUUGUCUUUGAUAAUUUAUUGGCAAACAGAUGUUUGUGUUUUGCUCACCUUUGAAAACCUUGAACAUUGAUUGUGUUCUUGUCCGAGUUUGUGGUGGCAUGACUGGUCAUGUGUUCCUCAUGUGUGUACAAUAUAGACCAGUUUGAUAACCAGAGAUGUAUUGAGCACCUGACUGAAAGAUGUAACUCACAGUACUGUUGUUUGUGUAACAUACAGUAUAUUAUGUGGGAUGUAUUGUGAAGGAAAAAUGUUAAUUAUCUAUGUCAUGGGGUUGGAGAGUAUUUCCUUAACCAUGCUCCGUAGGUGUUCAUAACCGAUUGGCUGUUACAGAAAUAACUGCCCCUGUUUUGUUGGGGUGGUGGGGUAGCCUAAUGGUUGAUUCCCCACAUGGGUACAAUGUGUGAAACCCAUUUCUGAUAUUCCCAGCGGUGAUAUUGCUGGAGUAUUGCUAAAAGCGACGUAAAACCAUACUCUCCCUCCCUGGUUGGUUGGUUGCCUUUCAGAAAGUAUUUGGAAGCUCUUUUUCUACUACGUUGAUCAUGUACUUUUGUAAUUGGGAAUGUUUACAGUUUUAUUAGAAUCGAUCAGUAACCACACCUAUAUUUUUGAGAUAAUUGUCUUUCACGUUGAAGGUCAAGGUCAUAGCCUACAAGAAAUUACCCCGAGAUAUUGCUGAGAAUCUGAUUAAGGUUGUUGGUUAAUGAAAUUUGGUACAUUUUUUUAGGUGA
rnacentral:misc_RNA from 1 species